UACAGAGGUCUCAAGCGUUGUUCGGAUUCAUUGGGCGUAAAGGGUGCGUAGGUGGCGCCGUAAGUCAGGUGUGAAAUUUCGGAGCUUAACUCCGAAACUGCAUUUGAUACUGCGGUGCUUGAGGACUGGAGAGGAGACUGGAAUUCACGGUGUAGCAGUGAGAUGCGUAGAUAUCGUGAGGAAGACCAGUGGCGAAGGCGGGUCUCUGGACAGUUCCUGACACUGAGGCACGAAGGCCAGGGGAGCAAACGGG
rnacentral:rRNA from 1 species